rnacentral:rRNA from 1 species
GACGAACGCUGGCGGCGUGCUUAACACAUGCAAGUCGAACGGAAAGGCCCUGCUUUUGUGGGGUGCUCGAGUGGCGAACGGGUGAGUAACACGUGAGUAACCUGCCCUUGACUUUGGGAUAACUUCAGGAAACUGGGGCUAAUACCGGAUAGGAGCUCCUGCUGCAUGGUGGGGGUUGGAAAGUUUCGGCGGUUGGGGAUGGACUCGCGGCUUAUCAGCUUGUUGGUGGGGUAGUGGCUUACCAAGGCUUUGACGGGUAGCCGGCCUGAGAGGGUGACCGGCAACAUUGGGACUGGGAUACGGCCCAAAUUCCUCCGGGGGGAGGCGGUGGGGAUAUUGCACAAUGGGCGGAAGCCUGAUGCAGCAACGCCGCGUGCGGGAUGACGGCCUUCGGGUUGUAAACCGCUUUCGCCUGUGACGAAGCGUGAGUGACGGUAAUGGGUAAAGAAGCACCGGCUAACUACGUG